rnacentral:rRNA from 1 species
GAUGAACGCUGGCGGCGUGCCUAAUACAUGCAAGUCGAGCGAACGGACGAGAAGCUUGCUUCUCUGAUGUUAGCGGCGGACGGGUGAGUAACACGUGGAUAACCUACCUAUAAGACUGGGAUAACUUCGGGAAACCGUAGCUAAUACCGGAUAAUAUUUUGAACCGCAUGGUUCAAAAGUGAAAGACGGUCUUGCUGUCACUUAUAGAUGGAUCCGCGCUGCAUUAGCUAGUUGGUAAGGUAACGGCUUACCAAGGCAACGAUGCAUAGCCGACCUGAGAGGGUGAUCGGCCACACUGGAACUGAGACGCGGUCCAGACUCCUACGGGAGGCAGCAGUAGGGAAUCUUCCGCAAUGGGCGAAAGCCUGACGGAGCAACGCCGCGUGAGUGAUGAAGGUCUUCGGAUCGUAAAACUCUGUUAUUAGUGAAGAACAUAUGUGUAAGUAACUGUGCACAUCUUGACGGUACCUAAUCAGAAAGCCACGGCUAACUACGUG